rnacentral:lncRNA from 1 species
GCACGGAGUCAAGUGCGUGUGCAGAAAGGUCGGACUGCUGGAUUGACCGUUCACAGAGACACGUGCAGCCCUGGCUGGGAGCUGGCAGGUGGCGGUGAUGCUCUGCUUUGGUUCCAGCCCAGAGACAGUGGAGCCAGACAACUAUGGACUGCGCCCACUGAACCAGCCUGUUCAGUUGCCCAGGCAGGCCUCUAACUUGGAUCUUCCUGCCUGAGCUGCCCACGUUGCUGGGAUUGCAGAUGCCACACCCAACCCACCUGAACAUCUGUGUUGUAAGGAUAUGCAAGACGGCAAGGCCAGGUAGAAGUCAACGGAAGGUAUCAAAAGCUCCCGCAAAAGAAAAAUACUGGGGUCAGACUAGCAACUGGGGACAUUCUGAGACUUCUGAGGCCCAGUGGACUGUACCUGAUGCAGUAUUCUCACAGUGGAGUGGUUCCUGAGGAUCUAAUGAACCAACAAUGAAUCGUAGAUUCCAAUAUCAACUGGAAUACAUUGAUGUACAAGUUGUGUGUCAUUCAUUCCAAAAGCUAAGAAAAACAACAGAGUCUCCCAGCAAAUUGUUUAUACAAAAGGCAGAAGAUUC